ensembl:lncRNA
UUUACAUCGGCUCCAUGGGAAUCAGCAACCAGCGAUUCCUGCCAGAGCAUGAAGACCCCAGCAGCUCAGAGUUUACUCAGCUGGCCGCUCAAGUCAGCCAACAGCUCAAACUGAUUUACUCCAAAAACUCAGUGCUGGCCAAAUACUUCAACCGCAACUCCGUCCAGGCCUUCAGUAUUGCCACUCUGCCGGAUCCGCUUUUCUGCAAAGCCGCCUCCAUUCAGCACGAUCAAGGGCAUCGUUCAGUCGCGCUCCUUGCAUCUUCUCUGUGAUCGGUGUGAUGCCCAGCCGCUUUCGGAUGCUGAUGUUCAUGAUGUGGUCCCAUCGUGUCAGGCCCAGGCACCAUCGCAGCAACCGCAUUUCCAUUGUGGGAAGGGCCUGUUCGUGCGUUGCGGUUGCCGGCCAACAUUCGGA